rnacentral:rRNA from 1 species
GACGAACGCUGGCGGCGUGCUUAACACAUGCAAGUCGAACGGAAAGGCCCUGGUUUGGUUGGGUGCUCGAGUGGCGAACGGGUGAGUAACACGUGGGUAACCUGCCCUGUACUUUGGGAUAACUUCUGGAAACUAUGGCUAAUACCGGAUAAGAGCUCCUGCUGCAUGGUGUUGGUUUGAAAGUUUCGGCGGUUGGGGAUGGACUCGCGGCUGAUCAGCUUGUUGGUGAUGUAGUGGCUUCGCAAGGCUUUGACGGGUAGCCGGACUGAGAGGGUGACAGGCCACAUUGGGACUGAGAUACCGGCAAGACUCAUACGGGAGGCAGCAGUGGGGAAUAUUGCACAAUGGGCGGAAGCCUGAUGCAGCAACGCCGCGUGCGGGAUGACGGCCUUCGGGUUGGAACCCGCUUUCGCCUGUGACGAAGAGUGAGUGACGGUAAUGGGUAAAGAAGCAACGGCUAACUACGUG